rnacentral:rRNA from 1 species
AUUGAACGCUGGCGGCAUGCUUUACACAUGCAAGUCGAACGGUAACAGGUUAAGCUGACGAGUGGCGAACGGGUGAGUAAUGCAUCGGAACGUGCCCGAUCGUGGGGGAUAACGCAGUGAAAGCUGCGCUAAUACCGCAUACGAUCUGAGGAUGAAAGCGGGGGACCGUAAGGCCUCGCGCGAUCGGAGCGGCCGAUGUCAGAUUAGGUAGUUGGUGGGGUAAAGGCCCACCAAGCCGACGAUCUGUAGCUGGUCUGAGAGGACGACUAGCCACACUGGGACUGAGACACGGCCCAGACUCCUACGGGAGGCAGCAGUGGGGAAUUUUGGACAAUGGGCGAAAGCCUGAUCCAGCAAUGCCGCGUGCAGGAAGAAGGCCUUCGGGUUGUAAACUGCUUUUGUACGGAGCGAAAAGGUCCUUUCUAAUACAAGGGGCUCAUGACGGUACCGUAAGAAUAAGCACCGGCUAACUACGUGCCAGCAGCCGCCGUAACAC